rnacentral:snRNA from 1 species
UUAUAUAUAUAUAUGCUAAAAUUGGAACGAUAGAGAGAAGAUUAGCAUGGCCUCUGCGCAAGUAUGACACGCAAAUUUGUAAAGCGUUCCCUACUUUU